CAACUGGUCGCCUUCGCGCCACUUUCCUAAUCCUUCAGUCAUUUUUACUAAACCUAGCCGUGGUCUGAUUUAACACACGGUCGGCUCGGCUUUUACUUUACAUUUCCUUUUUAUCCGCCGGUUAAAAAGUUUUCGGAAUAGUUACGUAUUAUUUCUCUCUUUGUCGGUAAGAGUACAUGGUAGCCCAAGCAAGUGAGCGAAGAUGGUGGAUUUCGCUGGUUGCUGCUGAAAUGAAGUGACCAGGACAAAAUUACAUCAUGGAUUGGAGUGGCUGUAUUCUGUCCCAUGGAAAUAUCAUCUUUCCCUUGGAUGUUUGACAGAUGCAGCAGAGACGCUGUCUUUGUAUUGUCAAAGUGCUUACAGUGCAGGUAGUACUAUGCAAUACCUACUGCAGUGGAGGCACUUAUAGCAAUACCCUGACAAUGAUUUGCAAUUUCUUUGAUGGUAUAUUUCAUUUGAAGUACUGUCUUUGUGCUAAGGUGCAUCUAGUGCAGAUAGUGAAAUAGACUAGCACCUACUGCCCUAAGUGCUCCUUCUGGCAUAAGGGGCUGUGAUAUGCGCCACCUGACAUUCUAAUUUCUAAUUUGGCUUAUUGCUAAAUAUCUCGCAGUUCUCUGCUAGUUUUGCAUAGUUGCACUACAAGAAUAGAUGAGUUGUGCAAAUCUAUGCAAAACUGAUGGUGGCCUGCUUGCUCUCCACCUGUUUAGAUGACCGGUUUUUGGAGUGCUGGGUGUCACUGUGCCCACAACCCGAUUCCAUAAAAUAUGUCCGUUUACAUGACAUUGAAACCAGGAUUGUUUGCCAGCUCUCGUCCAAUGACCUCAGAGUUUCAGCAGUGCUAAAGUGCUUAUAGUGCAGGUAGUGUUUUUCUCCAAUCUACUGCAAUGUAAGCACUUGAAGUACUUCUAACUAAUUGCAUCUUUCUCAAGCCCCAGCAGCCCUAAUCACAAGAAGGUUGGCUGUUUAUCAUUAUUCCUGGUCAGUUUUGCUGGUUUGCAUUCAGCUUUAACUGAGGUUCGCUGUGCAAAUCCAUGCAAAACUGACUAGGUUGAUGCCCUCCAUGUUGACCAACAGCUCUGCACUUGAAAGACCUGCUUCUUUUGUAUGUAUUGAAUAUGCUAAUGGUAUGGUGUUUAUUUUUGUGUGGUCACUUCUGCAAUAUCACAAGAACAGAGUUGGAUAUGCAUGGUGUUUUAGAUAUCUCGCUGUCCCUUCCUGUGCAGGUGGGGAUAAGUAGCAAUGCUGUGUACCUAGAGGUAUUGCACUUGUCCCGGCCUGUAUAGGACUGAGGAGAUGGAGCUCCCUGCGAUCCUGUUAGCGAAUCAUAAUGUUUACACCCAGAACUAAAUCUGUUGUAAUGUAGAUUUUGCCAUUUCUUUUUCUUUCCGGCAUUUUUAGCAAAUAAAUUGUCAAAUGAAAUGCCUGUAUUUAAUUGAUGUAAUGUAGUUUGAAGUCAAAUUAAAUUGGUGAACGGUGCCUUUUUCUCUGGGCAUGAUUUAUUAUAAAACCUGUGUGUAGCAGUUUAAUUUUGCAUAGUGUGAU